CGAGUUUUACAAUAGUCGAUUUUUUUGUUCAUUCUAAAACAAUGCUUAAUACAAUUACACAAAAAAGAAAUUGGACUUCUAGGAACUUUAGGGAACGGGUAUAUAUAAUCGUCAUAUGAAACCUCUUCAUUCUUUACAUGCAUGUCAAUUUGAGGACUCUCAGCCACAUUAGAAGAAAGAAACUUCUGUGCUGAAUUAGAUUUCGCCAUAAUAUUUGAUACGCCUAUAAAAAAUAUCGAAUAAUGCAAUCAAUAUAAGAGCAUAAAAUCUGUGGGAUUUCUUAAAUUAUCUUACAAAUUUAACUUACGUAACCGAGAAUAAACUUACAUGAUAAAAAAAUAGUUAGAAAAAUGAGAAAUAAAACUUUCUUCAUUUGUUCUGAAUCUUCAAUGCUUUUAAUUUGUCUUUUUUU
rnacentral:lncRNA from 1 species